rnacentral:rRNA from 1 species
AACGAACGCUGGCGGCAUGCCUAACACAUGCAAGUCGAACGAGAUCUUCGGGUCUAGUGGCGCACGGGUGCGUAACGCGUGGGAAUCUGCCCUCUGGUUCGGAAUAACAGUUGGAAACGACUGCUAAUACCGGAUGAUGACGAAAGUCCAAAGAUUUAUCGCCAGAGGAUGAGCCCGCGUAGGAUUAGCUAGUUGGUGUGGUAAAGGCGCACCAAGGCGACGAUCCUUAGCUGGUCUGAGAGGAUGAUCAGCCACACUGGGACUGAGACACGGCCCAGACUCCUAUGGGAGGCAGCAGUGGGGAAUAUUGGACAAUGGGCGAAAGCCUGAUCCAGCAAUGCCGCGCGAGUGAUGAAGGCCUUAGGGUUGUAAAGCUCUUUUACCCGGGAUGAUAAUGACAGUACCGGGAGAAUAAGCUCCGGCUAACUCCGUGCCAGCCGCCGCCGUAA